GACGAACGCUGGCGGCGUGCUUAACACAUGCAAGUCGAACGGAAAGGCCCUGCUUUUGUGGGGUGCUCGAGUGGCGAACGGGUGAGUAACACGUGAGUAAACUGCCCUUGACUUUGGGAUAACUUCAGGAAACUGGGGCUAAUACCGGAUAGGAGCUCCUGCUGCAUGGUGGGGGUUGGAAAGUUUCGGCGGAUGGGGAUGGACUCGCGGCUUAUCAGCUUGUUGGUGGGGUAGGGGCUUACCAAGGCUUUGACGGUUAGCCGGCCUGGGAGGGUGACCGGCCACAAUGGGACUGAGGUACGGCCCAGACGCCUACGGGAGGCAGCAGUGGGGAAUAUUGCACAAUGGGCGGAAGCCUGAUGCAGCAACGCCGCGUGCGGGAUGAUGGCCUUCGGGUUGUAAACCGCUUUCGCCUGUGACGAAGCGUGAGUGACGGUAAUGGGUAAAGAAGCACCGGCUAACUACGUG
rnacentral:rRNA from 1 species